rnacentral:rRNA from 1 species
CCUACGGGGCGCAGCAGUGAGGAAUAUUGGUCAAUGGACGAGAGUCUGAACCAGCCAAGUAGCGUGAAGGAUGACUGCCCUAUGGGUUGUAAACUUCUUUUCUAUGGGAAUAAAACAGGGUAUGCAUACCCUCUUGUAUGUACCAUAUGAAUAAGGAUCGGCUAACUCCGUGCCAGCAGCCGCGGUAAUACGGAGGAUGCGAGCGUUAUCCGGAUUUAUUGGGUUUAAAGGGUGCGCAGGCGGCGAGUUAAGUCAGCGGUAAAAUUUCGGGGCUCAACCCCGACGAGCCGUUGAAACUGGCUUGC